CCUACGGGUGGCAGCAGUGAGGAAUAUUGGUCAAUGGGCGGGAGCCUGAACCAGCCAAGCCGCGUGAGGGAAGAAGGUACAGCGUAUCGUAAACCUCUUUUGUCAGGGAACAAAGGCGGGGACUAGUCCCCGGAUGAGGGUACCUGAAGAAAAAGCAUCGGCUAACUCCGGGCAAGCAGCCGCGGUAAUACGGGGGAUGCGGGGGUUUUCCGGUUUUUUUGGGUUUAAAGGGUGCGCAGGCGGCGUGUUAUGUCGGCGGUAAAAGCCCGGGGUUAAACCCCGGCGAGCCGUUGAAACUGGCGGGCUGGAGUUGGAGAGAAGUACGCGGAAUGCGCGGUGUAGCGGUGAAAUGCUUAGAUAUCGCGCAGAACCCCGAUUGCGAAGGCAGCGUACCGGCUCCACACUGACGCUGAGGCACGAAAGCGUGGGUAUCGAACAGGAUUAGAUACCCUGGUAGUC
rnacentral:rRNA from 1 species